AUUCCGGCUGUUACUGUAGCCACCACUUCUGCCAACCCAGAGGGAAAAGAUCCUACCAAGAGAGAAGGGCCCACCCUACCACAAGCUGCUUCAGGUGUUUUUCUUUCUCUGAGCACUUUUUGCCACGGCUGCAGACUGGUACCAUUACUUUUUGCAGUGCCUGUUGCCUUUGGCUCACCCCACAGACUGAGCGAGAGCCUGCAGUCUGCUACUGCUGACUGUUCUCUCACCACAUAUGGAAAGGCAGUCCCUAGAGAAGCUAUGAGCUGUCAUCAUCUUGUAAAAGCAUGGAAUUUAUGAACUGUAUUCAAAUAUUGGCAACACAUACUGGCCCAAAGUCAUGAAAUUUGGAGAGCACAAGCAAAUCAUAUUCAAAAGGAACAGACCCUAAUAUCAGAUACUGUAAAAGUUCAGAAUGAGACAAAUAAAUACAAAGGGACGUAAAAUAUCUCAGACACAUUAAAGAAGAAACAAUUGAUCAACCGGACAGGAAAACUGCAAAAUCAACACAAUAGAUGCAGUAACUUUAAAAUAA